GGGUCGUUAGCUCAAUGGUAGAGCAGCUGCCUCUUAAGCAGUUGGUUACAGGUUCGAGUCCUGUACGACCCA
rnacentral:tRNA from 1 species